CGCCGAUGUGAUUGACCAGAAUGAGUUCACCGCCCGGCUUCAGCACGCGCAUGAAAUCGUCCAGCGUCGCUUCCGGGUCCGGCACCGCCGUGAUGACAUAUUGCGCCACAACCGCAUCGAACGUGCCGUCCGGGAAUGCGAGGUUCUUCGCAUCCAUCACCGAUAGCGUUUCGACAUUGGUGAGGUUUUGUGCGCGCACGCGCUCCUGCGCCUUGCGCAGCAUG
rnacentral:misc_RNA from 1 species